GCGUCCACCUGAGUGACUUUAGU
rnacentral:miRNA from 14 species